GUAACAGUGCAAAUCGAGAUCUACUUUACAUCAAAUAACAGUCGAAACGUCGUUAGUGUUUAUGAUACAGGGUAAUAAGAACUGUAAAUGGAGCAUUCUCUGAUCAGGAGCGUAUGAAUAUAAAACUUAUAAACUUGUCUUUUUCAGAUUGACUGGAAACAUCACAUUUUCGCAGGUUUCUUCGCGGUGACGCUAAACGUGAUGGUCGUGCACACGUGCUUCUCGAACUGGUCCCGCCUGUCCCGUAACGACCGUUACAUCAUCAACCUUGCGAUCAGUGACAGCCGCAUGCCUCUCUGCGCCUUCCCACUCACCAUCUCAUCCUCGUUCUCUCACGAGUG